rnacentral:rRNA from 1 species
AUGUGCCUCAUGUGUCACCUCUUCCUCCGGCACCUCUCAUUCCUUCUCAUUCACCACCGACCCCGUCUUCCCCAUCCUCCUUCUCCACCUCUCCCCCAUCCUCUCCAGUCCGUCACCCUCUCUCACCGUUUCCUUUCCACUAUACUCGUCGAUCUCGUACUGAGGAUGUCUCCUCUGACGCGCCUUCCACCUCUGGUGCACCUCCUCUCACGCCUCCCCUGGUUCACAACCUCCAUGCUAGGCCUCGCCCCCCGCCUGAUCGCUACUCCCCUGAUCGGACCUCCUGGAGCCAAUCUAUUUAUCUACCAUAUCCCACAAGAAUUUGGUGACCAAGAACUCUCCGAUGCCUUCCAGAGGUUUGGGAGAGUAAUAAGUGCCAAGGUGUUUGUUGACAAAGCAACUGGUUCCAGCAAAUGCUUCGGUUUUGUAAGCUAUGACAACCCUGUGUCCGCGCAGUCGGCCAUCGCCAUGAUGAACGGUUUCCAGCUAGGCGGCAAGAAACUCAAAAAGGUUGGCAUGUCAAUUAUUCAGAUGCCGGUGCUACCGGUUCGGAUUUGCCGACUUUUAAGUCAGAAACUUAACUCGCCUUUUUGCUAUUGGAGAUGCUCUAGCAAAUCCCAGAUGACAAAUUGUCAUGGAAGCCUUAGAUCACCUUCUUGGCUAACAUUGUGUUGCAGUAGAGCGGAAACAAGGAGGACGAUGGGGUGA